GACGAACGCUGGCGGCGUGCCUAAUACAUGCAAGUCGAACGCAGUUGCGAACGGGUGAGUAACGCGUGGGUAACUGCCUCUUAGCGGGGGUUAACUCUUGGAAACGAUACCUAAUACCGCAUACUGUGAGAUGGACCUGGGUUGUAUUAGCUAGUUGGUGGGGCAACGGCUCACCAAGGCGACGAUACAUAGCCGACCUGAGAGGUUGAUCGGCCACACUGGGACUGAGACACGGCCCAGACUCCUACGGGAGGCAGCAGUGGGGAAUAUUGGGAAAUGGACGAAAGUCUGACCGAGCAACGCCGCGUGAGUGAAGAAGGUUUUCGGAUCGUAAAACUCUUUUGUUAGAGAAGCGGUACCUAAACAGAAAGCAACGGCUAACUACGUGCCAGCAGCCGCGGUAAUUC
rnacentral:rRNA from 1 species